UAGGGACUGGAGCAUGUGAGCCGAUCAGCGGCACCUAGCGGAGAAACAUAGAACUGGUUGUGGUGCAGCCCAGGAAAUUACGCCCUCGCCAAACAUUGGAACAGUUACUGAGGGCUUCUCUGGGUCUAAGAGUGACGGCAGGGAGGCUUCACUGUCCUCUCUCGCCUCAGGGUCAUUGACAAGCCAGCAUUUAAAGGUCAAUCUUCGACAAUGGAUGUCAGGGACCUCUGCACCGCCCGAGAGACUUCCAGUCAAUGUCAUCUGCCAAGAUCAACUGGACUAAGAGCUGUGCCCUGCUGGUGGGGGAAUGGAGGGGCUGCAGGCCCCUGGACCUGCCAGCUGGGCUGCACUGGAGACGAGACGGCUUCAAAUACCGAGUGGAAGAACUGGGUUGUUCAAGGUUGUCCCAAUUGUUUCUUCUAACUUAGCUUGUGUUUUUGAUACAAAUUAGAAGAAACAAUUGGGGGAACCUUGGCCCCCAUCGGUUUUACAGUUGUGCCUAUUUGCUUUGUGCUGGGCAAGGUUGUCCCAAUGGUUUCUUGAAACUUGACUUGUUUUUUUGAUAUCUCUACUUUAAAUGGCUGGGCACUUUUGAUAAAUUGGUGUUUUUUCACAUUUCCAGUGUGUUUUUGUUUCAGAUGUACAUAUGCAUGGAUAAAAGUGCCUGGGGUCUGCAAAAAUCUGCAAAAAAUACAUCUGGAGAAAAAGAAAAAGAAGAAGGAGAUGGAGAUGGACAUUUUUACCUUCCUUUGGCGACUUAUUUCUCUUACUGUAUGACAGGUAUUUACUUUUUUUUUCUACAUUUCACACAAGAGUGUUGGGAACUACAAAUUAAAAGUGAAAUGGUGUUUUGGCUGAUUUACUUUUGCUGUGCCAAUACCCUGAAAACACAUAAACUAUCCGUGUUGUAUAGAUAGUCACUGGCGUUCUCGCGCGUCGCUGUAACUUGGCAAGAGUAACUACCGUUCCUCUCGAUAUAUGGUCAGGGAAAUAUUGGAGGUUGGAGAAUAGUUAAAUAUUAAUUAUACAAAAUUGUAGUACAUACUGGUGAGCUUUGACUUUUGUGUAAUGUCCAGCUGCAGUUUGAUACUAGGAAUGAGAUGAGAUUGAAUUUUACAAACUGGUUUCAUAGUGCAGAUGGCAUUUGGUUUAGUGGGGAAAAAACAGCAUAUACUAUCCUUUUCUAACAGACACACACUUCUAUGCAAUCUGUGUUAUUCAGGCAGAAUCAUUAAAGCAUCGUUAAUGAUUAAUGUUUGCGCUCUGUUCAAACCCAGACUUGCAAUAUAUUAUUGUAAAGUGUAAUUUAAAUAUGCAGUCACUAAGACAUUGAAUGAGCUGCCUGAGGACUGCACACAUAUUUAUCAGGGUACAUUUACAUUGUUCCUGUGAUUUUUCAUGCUGCUGUCAUGCUUUGUUGUCAUGAUUGACAACUUACAAGUCUUCUGGAUAUUGUGCUCUUUUCCCAGUUUAUUAAAGAUCGAAUAGCUUCAAAUUUCAUUCUCAUAUUGUUUUAAACUGUUACCUUUGUUUUAAACCCUUUUCUAUGAUGCUUGGAAUCAUUCUGAGUAGUUCUUAAUGUAAUAUCAGAAAUAUACGAUUUAAUUUUGAUGUGCUUUCAUCUGCGUUCAGUAGUGGUUUAGUUGCCUGUCAUAGAUAUGUCAAAGUGUGUAUGUACAGUAGAUGAAAGAGGCACUUUUUAUCACAUAUUUUUUGGUUUUUCCGGCAUUACUCAGUAGUGCUCUAGUCCAAAUAUUUCUUGUGCUUAUUUAAAUAAAGACACUUUGGCUGAUCUAGCCGAUGUUACAUGUGCCUAUAGCAGCCAACUAUCACUGAAGAGUAGCUCAGAACUCAAGCACCUUAACACAAAUGGAAAAAAAACUCAACACUGGAGUAAUUGCAGUAAGAACCACUCAAAAUGAAAAUGGAAUUUGAACUCUUUAAACUUGAACCCCUGUAAUGUGCAGUUUGAAUGAUUUUGUGUAUCAGGUUUAUAGAUUAUGGCCACAUCAAGUACAGAGGCCCCAAAACAUGCCACUUGACAGUGCAUUCCAGGUGCUAAGUCUAGAUUUUCCUGGUGGCAGUGCUAUAAUGAGAAUGGAGUAUACUUCAAACUUACAUGACCUAACACCUCCAUAGAAAACAGGUGAAAUUGACACUGUCUGCUAAUAGCUUUACACCAUUAAAAUACUUGUCACUGGGUGAAGCACUGUUUAACCCCGGUUUUCAUUACCAGAGCUGUGCAAAUUUUUUUUCAUAUCCAAGUCAAUUUCAGUAAUUCAUGUAGUUUAUGUAACAGACUUUGGCUGGAUGCAGACUAGCAAGCAUGUACACUGCAGGUGUCUUAACCACUAUGGAAGCGAACCAGGCUGUAUGGGUUAUAGAACUUUUAAUCCCAUCUCACCGACAGGGGUUAGAAUCCGUAACAAAAGUGCACCACGCAACCCUGUCACUACAGUUACUUUCUUGGUCUUCUAAGAUACCAGUCUUGGGAAUAUUUUGUGCUGGGAAAUGCAUAUCUUGUGGCUUAUUAUUGGUUGCUAAGGCAAGUCUAUUCUGUAUCCGAGCAAGGAGUAAUGAUAAGGAGAUGAUGGUGAAGAAUUGUGGACCUAUUGACAUCUAAAAACUGUACUGUGUAGGCCAGGCUUGGACAUCGACUCCAGCGCCUAGACUUUUGUUUAUUUUUAUACUGGGGUUUGACCCCUUUUCUCCAGGAAUUUAUUGUGAUAGCUCAGGUGAAACUGAGCACUCCUUGUCAAGAUUGUGUGCUGCAUCUGGUCAGAAUCUGGUCAAUCUUAAAUUUUACAAGUAAAUGUUAACAUUAACGAAAUAAGGUGGUAAAUGUCUGAAAUUCUGAAGAAAGAAAUUGCUUUUCGGCAUUUACUGGUUAAUCUUAUGAUUUACCGAAGUGUAUUGGUAGAUGCAGGUAUAUCAUCGAAGAAUGUAUUUAUUCCUGCAUAUAAAUUGUCAAUUAACAAAAUAAUCAUUAAUGUCAAACAAUAUAUUUAUUCAUGCAUACACAUUUUCCAAUAACAAAAGAAUCAUUAAUGAGCUUUAACAAAAGAAUAAUUAAUGAGCAUUAAUGCACAAUUGAGCAAUUCAACAUGGUAUUGAACAAUAUUGUAAUCCACUUAUGUAUAACAACCCUCAUUCUGGUAAAUUUGCUUAUAAAACCAUUCACAAUGGCGUUGAAGGAUAUUGUACUCCAACUACAUAGUAGUUUGAUGAAAAAUAACAUUGUGUUAAUGCAAAUUAAAUCAUUUAGUUUUUUUCAACAGAAAAUCACACUUUGGUUAUGACACAAAACGCGACAAAUACAGGCACGGCAUAGAUAUAUUUACUUACUUAUCAUUUAUUUCUUAGCAGAUGCCCUUAUCCAGGGUGACUUACAAUUGUUAAGAUUAUUACAUUAUUUUUACAUACAAUUACCCAUUUAUACAGUUGGGUUUUUACUGGAGCAAUCUAGGUAAAGUACGUUGCUCAAGGGUACAGCAGCAGUGUCCCCCACCUGGAAUUGAACCCAUGACCCUCCGGACAAGAGUCCAGAGCCCUAACCACUACUCCACACUGCUGCCCUAUUAUUGCAGCAUGGUAGACUCUUGUGGCAUUUGGAGUUCCACAGGACUCCUGAAGCCUUACAAUAUGCGAAAGCGAGACAUUUGGUCAUUAGCCAAAGGCACUUGGUUAUUCUUGAGAUUUACCGGUAAAUGUCAGAAAUAAAGAGUUAUCGUGUUUAUUUCAGAUAUUUAUCGUUUUGCUUGGUAAAUGUUGACAUUUACCAGUAGAUCUUAAGAUUUGCCAAUAUUCAGACUUUUACCAUAACAUAUGCACUGUCCAGAUUAGUCAGUCCAGACCGAUAUAAGUGAAUGAUGUAAUAAUAUAAGUAUUACAUGUGUUUAGGGGCUCGGGACUGCAAGACACCUAAGUCAGGGCUGAAGAGAGGUGUUGGGGUGGUGUGUUACAUGAACCAAACACCCUCCUAUAUCAGAGAAAGUCUACUCCGUAUGCUGUCAAUGUUGUUGAAGACAGUUGAGAUCUGCAGCAUUAUUUCCUAUCCUGUCCCAUACAUACAAUUGGAGACACAGUUAUUAAGGAAUAUAACACACUAUUCCCCUUGGUGAACAAACACAUUCCUGAUCCCUGGAUUGCGGUUGUGUAGCUUAUUUUUUUGUUUCUUCUACAAAAAUGUAAUACGUUUUGCUUUUCUGAAAUGUUCUGUGUCUUUAUAAUUAUUAACAGAAGUGUCUGUCUACCUCCACUUUACAAUAUUGCAUACCUCUAAAUAUGUGUAAAGGGUAGUUCCUUAACCCUAAAACACACAUAAUAUACAUACUGUAUACCAAAGAAGAGGGGCAGUGUUCCUUAUGCACAAGGUAAGCUACUUGUGUGGCGAGAGAAAGAAAUGAUAAAGGUUAAUGAUUGGUUAAUGCAAUGAAAUUGAUCAUUUUGGGUGUUGCCCUCUCCUGAAUUCUGCUCUCAUAGUACACAUAAUUGCUAUCGCAACGUCGACAGUCUGUGAGGUCAAUGUCACCAGACUCCCUGCUGCAGGGUAUGGUUGAUGAUGAGUCAACUUAUCAGGAAAAGGGACACUAAACUAAGACUGCUAUAGAACUGAAUGUGAAGUGACCUUCAGGGGUGGGACACUGUAAAGGGACUGUUUGGGACUGGUGGGUUGGCGUCAGGAGGGGUGGGAUUAAGGGGCGCUAUGAAAGCAGCAGUGCGCCCUCACCACGAGGAGAGCAUCAGAAUUAACUGAAGAGAUUGGUUAGCACAGAAAGGAAUAGUAGUUCCUCGCACCAAGUUAUCAGCUCUGUACAGCAAGGAAUGUUUACAUGUUUUCAGGGUAUCAGACAAAAGCACCAUUCACUUUUAAUUUGUAGUUUACAACACUCUUAGGUGGAAU